rnacentral:rRNA from 1 species
AACGAACGCUGGCGGCAUGCCUAACACAUGCAAGUCGAACGAGACCUUCGGGUCUAGUGGCGCACGGGUGCGUAACACGUGGGAAUUUGCCUCGGGGUAUGGAAUAACUCAGGGAAACUUGAGCUAAUACCAUAUAAUGUCUUCGGACCAAAGAUUUAUCGCCCUGAGAUAAGCCCGCGUAGGAUUAGCUAGUUGGUGGGGUAAAGGCUCACCAAGGCGACGAUCCUUAGCUGGUCUGAGAGGAUGAUCAGCCACACUGGGACUGAGACACGGCCCAGACUCCUACGGGAGGCAGCAGUGGGGAAUAUUGGACAAUGGGCGAAAGCCUGAUCCAGCAAUGCCGCCGUGAGUGAUGAAGGCCUCGGUUGUAAG